AGUGAACGCUGGCGGUAGGCCUAACACAUGCAAGUCGAACGGCAGCACAGUAAGAGCUUGCUCUUACGGGUGGCGAGUGGCGGACGGGUGAGGAAUACAUCGGAAUCUACUUUUUCGUGGGGGAUAACGUAGGGAAACUUACGCUAAUACCGCAUACGACCUACGGAUGAAGGCAGGGGAUCUUCGGACCUUGCGCGAUUGAAUGAGCCGAUGUCGGAUUAGCUAGUUGGCGGGGUAAAGGCCCACCAAGGCGACGAUCCGUAGCUGGUCUGAGAGGAUGAUCAGCCACACUGGAACUGAGACACGGUCCAGACUCCUACGGGAGGCAGCAGUGGGGAAUAUUGGACAAUGGGCGCAAGCCUGAUCCAGCCAUACCGCGUGGGUGAAGAAGGCCUUCGGGUUGUAAAGCCCUUUUGUUGGGAAAGAAAAGCAGCAGGUUAAUACCCCGCUGUUCUGACGGUACCCAAAGAAUAAGCACCGGCUAACUUCGUG
rnacentral:rRNA from 1 species